rnacentral:rRNA from 1 species
GUCGAACGAAGCACCUCUCCCGUUGAUUGACCUAGCUUGCUAGAGAUUGAAACAAUUGAGGUGACUGAGUGGCGGACGGGUGAGUAACGCGUGGGUAACCUGCCUUGUACAGGGGGAUAACAGUUGGAAACGACUGCUAAUACCGCAUAAGCGCACAGUAUCGCAUGAUACAGUGUGAAAAACUCCGGUGGUACAAGAUGGACCCGCGUCUGAUUAGCUAGUUGGAGGGGUAACGGCCCACCAAGGCAACGAUCAGUAGCCGACUUGAGAGAGUGAUCGGCCACAUUGGGACUGAGACACGGCCCAAACUCCUACGGGAGGCAGCAGUAGGGAAUAUUGCACAAUGGGGGAAACCCUGAUGCAGCGACGCCGCGUGAAGGAUGAAGUAUUUCGGUAUGUAAACUUCUAUCAGCAAGGAAGAAAAUGACGGUACUUGACUAAGAAGCCCCGGCUAAAUACGUGCCAGCAGCCGCGGUAAUACGUAUGGGGCAAGCGUUAUCCGGAUUUACUGGGUGUAAAGGGAGCGUAGGCGGUACGGCAAGUCAGAAGUGAAAGCCUGGGGCUCAACCCCGGAAUUGCUUUUGAAACUGUCGAACUAGAGUGUCGGAGGGGUAAGCGGAAUUCCUAGUGUAGCGGUGAAAUGCGUAGAUAUUAGGAGGAACACCGGUGGCGAAGGCGGCUUACUGGACGACCACUGACGCUGAGGCUCGAAAGCGUGGGGAGCAAACAGGAUUAGAUACCCUGGUAG